GAAUCGGCACGCUCCGGAGUCCACCGAUUCGAGCGUGCCGAGAGGGGUCCCUCCUUGACGAUGAAGGCCAGCGGCCUGAGGGUUGUCGUCCUUUACGGUUAUGGCGCGGGGAGGCGCCAGACGACGGGGUGGUCCUACGACGAUUAGACGUAGGCAGAGCGCGACGCGACUUAUACUGCCUAGGCCGACCAAUCCGGGUGAACGCGUGCUCACGGAACCUCCUGGUCCCGCACUUCCGCGUGAAGGCGAUUGGCUACCUUCACUCCAACGAGCGCGAACUGUCCACUCGGACGCCUGUAGAUUAAAAGAGGCCGAUCCUCCCCAGAUCGGCGCUUUUAUUGUUGAUCCCAAGUCCAGGAUUUCCCCAUCCAUUUUCCCGCUCUGUCGCAUGGGCGCUGCCAUGCUGCCCCAUCGGGAAAUAGAUGGACAUCGGCUUCACUUACAGCGGCUCGCUUCACCCCUUUCCAACUGUCAAGUGUGGUGAAUGUGUAAUAAAAAUACUGAAGCGAAGCAUGAAUUCGUUAAGGAUUGUGACCAACGGUUACACUAUCCACUACCCCGGCGAAAAAAUGUGAAGGCACGAAGUGAAUGAACAUUUUUUUAAGCGAAAUGCAUUUCCAAAAUCGUCUUCAGCACUCCUCGGGUUCACAGACUUGUGUAAGUGGUCACUUGUUUAUGUACUAGCCUCAUUGUAGGCACAUUUCUGCGUGUCCUGGUGACAAUCAAUCUCAAAGUUUAUUGAAAUUAUUCAAAAUAUUGAAAAAGUUGGCAUAGCAAACAAAUACAAAUAAAUAAAUUAAAAUUUAGACAUGCACUACAAUUUAAAAUAAAUUAUUUAAAAGAAUCCCAAAAUAUUAGUAGACAACUCUAUUUACAAUUUUACAUAAGCGUUCUUCAACGACUUCAACUUCCAUGGACUAUGCGCAUUUAAUCCAAUUUUAGAUCACAUUCGAUCAUAUUCGGAAGUUCACCACAAGGGUUCAUUCCUGACGGGUCAACUGUCUGACAGUUCCCGAAACGUCUCUAAUCUGUCAAAGGUCAGCAUAUCGCAUUGUUUACAUUGCGUAUAUGUGAAAGUGUAUUCAGGUGAAAAUUUACUCACAAGUUCGGUAUAAAUGUGUUGAAAAUUGGCCGAAAAUUCAACGAAAGGACAAGGUAAGUGUAAUGCAUUACAAACAUAACGAAAAUCUUCUAUUUCAGGGUAAUUUUGACUAGUAUUGGUGGGCCACAGAGGGCAAAAUAGUGCGUGGAAGAUCGCUGCCAGGAACGCAGUCUUUUUUCAAAGACUGGCCUGCAGGAGUCCACUGAAAAUCCCGGGAUUCACCAUGAUAGCCAUCUUGACGCGCAAGAUCAGCUACAGGUCGACUGAUCCCCUCACCACAACACCACCAGCCGCGCUCAGACCGAGGGUUAUUAAUUUUCGCCCCUUGGUCAUCCACGAACUGGCCCGUUGGGCUAUGGAUCAUCGAUAACAAUGAUAUCGUCCACCUUUCGGUUAUGCGUUCGGUGAGGCCGGGUAAUCCAGAUCAGCUGACUUGGUCCAGGGUAGUGGGACAUCGCCCGAAGAAUCCCUAGCACCCAAGUCGGUGCCGAUCGUGGCCACAACUUCACCAACGGAACCAUACUAAGUGUCGACGGAUAUUAGGAUUAAGAAACUAGAAAA